rnacentral:tRNA from 1 species
GCGCGGUUGGCGCAGUGGUCUAGCGCGUCACUCGAUUUGAGGUUGAAGACCCGGGUUCGAAUCCCGGACCGCGCA